GCGCCAGCUAUGUCAACAUAACUACAGUUAAUUUCGCUCUAGUCAAGGUUUGGAGAGGAAGAAUCAAAAUGCCUGGUAUUUAUUAAAAGCAGCACACACUCAAUUGAAAAGUUAUUACGGCGAGUGCAGAAACGUUAGAACAUGUCGCUAUCUAAGCCUCUUAAAAACCAGGAUUGAAGACAACAACUCAUUUAGUCCAGCUUUCUUUCCUGUGUCCAAAGAGUCCAGUCAGCUGGUUGUGGGAAGUUUCACUCUUGAUCAGGAACUUGACGGCUGUAAGGAACAUACGCUCUCCGCCUUGAUCCAGCAAGCUUCCACUCGAAAGCAGCCCCUCGUUUCCUAGUCCUGACUACCCAAAACCCUCUUUCCAAUAGUCAGCUCUGGAGAAGAGUUGCCUAUGGCUUCAAUGGACACCCAUGCUCGCUAUGUGACUCAGGAAGUUUAAAAAGAUUACAAAAUCAUCAAAGCCAGAAUGUCCUGGUUUUAUGUACAAGCAAAAGCAAAGAGAAGGAGGGUGGGUAAGGGCAGGAAUUUGACCUAAUAAAACAAAUCAACAAUGGUGAACAAGUCCCAACUUGGUAGUUAAAGGCUACAAAUAAAACAUUUCUGAUUGGACUUACAUUUCAUGGGAGAGGGAUUAUUCUUUUUCAGUUGUCUUAAGCGUGUUUUUUUUAACACUUCCAGCUUAGAAAGAUUAAGAGAGAAAGAGCCAUUCAUUCAGCCUUAUUUAUCUAGAACAGGGGUCACCAACCUUUCAGACCUCAGGGACCACUAAAUUCAUAAUUUUAA